rnacentral:tRNA from 1 species
GCCGAGGUGGUGGAACUGGUAGACACGCAUGUUUGAGGGGCAUGUGGGCGGAUUUGCUUGUACGGGUUCAAGUCCCGUCCUCGGCA